rnacentral:rRNA from 1 species
GUGAAAGUUUCCAAGGGCGCAUGGUGGAUGCCUUGGCAACAGGAGCCGAAGAAGGACGUGGGAAUCUGCGAUAAGCCUGGUGGAGUCGAUAACCGGACGUUGAGACCAGGAUUUCCGAAUGGGGAAACCCCGCACGACGUGUCGUGUGACCCCCGGUUGAACACAUAGACCGGGUGGAGGGAACGUGGGGAAGUGAAACAUCUCAGUACCCACAGGAAGAGAAAACAAAAGUGAUUCCGUUAGUAGUGGCGAGCGAACGCGGAUGGGGCUAAACCGUAUGUGUGUGAUACCCGGCAGGGGUUGCAUGUGCGGUGUUGUGGGCCCCUCCUUGUCAUGUCUGCCGGCAUGGCGCAGUGAGGUGCGGGCAUAUAGACGAACCAGUGUGGAUGCUGGACCGUAGAGGGUGAGAGUCCCGUAGUCGAAAUGUGUUCCGCCGCUGUUGGAGGGUUGCCCGAGUAGCACGGGGCCCGAGGAAUCCCGUGUGAAUCUGCCAGGACCACCUGGUAAGCCUGAAUACUACCUGUUGACCGAUAGCGGAUCAGUACCGUGAGGGAAUGGUGAAAAGUACCCCGGGAGGGGAGUGAAAUAGUACCUGAAACCAUGUGCCUACAAACCGUUGGAGCCUCCUUGUGGGGUGACAGCGUGCCUUUUGAAGAAUGAGCCUGCGAGUUAGUGAUACGUGGCGAGGUUAACCCGUGUGGGGAAGCCGUAGCGAAAGCGAGUCUGAAUAGGGCGAUUGAGUCGCGUGUCCUAGACCCGAAGCGGAGUGAUCUACCCAUGGCCAGGUUGAAGCGCGUGUAAGAGCGCGUGGAGGACCGAACCCACUUCAGUUGAAAAUGGAGGGGAUGAGCUGUGGGUAGGGGUGAAAGGCCAAUCAAACUCCGUGAUAGCUGGUUCUCCCCGAAAUGCAUUUAGGUGCAGCGUCACGUGUUUCUUCCCGGAGGUAGAGCUACUGGAUGGACGAUGGGCCCUACAAGGUUACUGACUUCAGCCAAACUCCGAAUGCCGGGAAGUGAGAGCGUGGCAGUGAGACUGUGGGGGAUAAGCUUCAUAGUCGAGAGGGAAACAGCCCAGACCACCGGUUAAGGCCCCUAAGCGUGUGCUAAGUGGGAAAGGAUGUGGAGUUGCUGAGACAACCAGGAGGUUGGCUUAGAAGCAGCCACCCUUGAAAGAGUGCGUAAUAGCUCACUGGUCAAGUGAUUCCGCGCCGACAAUGUAGCGGGGCUCAAGUACACCGCCGAAACCGUGGCAUUCAGUUUU